UCAAGAAACUUCCACAAUGGGCGAAAGCCUGAUGGAGCGACGUCGCGUGAUGGACGAAGUGCUUCGGCACGUAAACAUCUUUUAUGUGGGAUGAAAUUAUUGACAGUACCACAUGAAUAAGGGGCUCCUAACUCUGUGCCAGCAGGAGCGGUAAUACAGAGGCCCCAAGCGUUAUCCGGAAUCACUGGGCGUAAAGGGUGUCGAGGCGGUUGUAUUAGUCGUUCGUAAAAUCUACGAGCUUAACUUGUAGGCGGCGAACGAAACGGUACGACUUGAGGUUUGGAGAGGUGCGUGGAACUCACGGUGUAGGGGUGAAAUCCGUUGAUAUCGUGGGGAACACCAAAGGCGAAGGCAGCGCACUGGCCAAAAUCUGACGCUCACACACGAAAGCUAGGGUAGCGAAGAGGAUUAGAUACCCCUGUAGUCCCUGAGCGGGCUGGCAAGGCGCAU
rnacentral:rRNA from 1 species